GGUUGGCAGCUGAGCUCUGCAGCUCAAGCUUGUGUCCAGGACAGAGACGUCAUUGAGUUACUGAGAACCGACGUUCUUUUUCCCCCAGACAGAACAGGAGGACAUGAGGUUCUUUUCUGGAGCUGAAAACAUCCCCAGGCUCUUCUCCUGUGUGGCUCUCUGCCUCCUGUGGUCAGGACAUGCGGAGGCCUGGAUCACUCAGAGCCCAAGAUACGAGAUCACGGUGACAGGGGAGACAGUGGCUCUGCAGUGUUACCAGACUUAUAACCAUGACUGUAUGUACUGGUACCAGCAAGACCAGGGACACGGGCUGCGGCUGAUCUUUUAUACCUGUGAUGUUGGCACCCUUAACAAAGAAGAAGUCCCUGAUGGGUACAAUGUCUCGAGACCAAGCACUGAGGAUUUCUCCCUGAUCCUAGAGUCUGUUGUCCCCUCCCGGACAUCUGUGUACUUGUGUGCCAGCAGUAACUCCACAGUGCUGCACGGCUGUUUCCUCUGUGCACAUAAAGGGGACUUAGAAAGAGUGAGGAUUGCCUGCCCUUGUGGGGUCUCGCCCAAACCGCAGCCUCUGCCUCCGGAAGAGUCACAGAGCAUAGCUUCCUGA